rnacentral:rRNA from 1 species
UACGUAGGGGGCAAGCGUUGUCCGGAUUUAUUGGGCGUAAAGAGCGUGUAGGCGGCCAGGUAGGUCCGUUGUGAAAACUCGAGGCUCAACCUCGAGACGUCGGCGGAAACCCUCUGGCUAGAGUCCGGAAGAGGCGAGUGGAAUUCCUGGUGUAGCGGUGGAAUGCGCAGAUAUCAGGAGGAACACCAAUAGCGAAGGCAGCUCGCUGGGACGUUACUGACACUGAGGCGCGAAAGCGUGGGGAGCGAACAGG